GUUCCUCCCCCUCCUCCAUCCUUUCUUCCUACACUCCCCGCUCCUUUUUCUCCCUUCUUCCUCCCUCCCACUCACACCCUCUAUUUUCCCUUCAUUUCACCAAAUGAUCCUGUGUCAGGUCCUAGAUUCAAGGACAGAGAAAAAUUGAGAGGUGGAGAGAAGGAGAGACACCUGUAGCCCUGAUUCACCAUUUGUGAAGCUUCCCCCUUCAGGUGGGGAGCAGGGGCUCGAACCCAGCUCCUUGCACAGUGUAAUUUGGGGAGGAAGGAAACCAAAGGAGAAGGAAGUUGACCAGCCACCUGAUGCAAUCAGACCCGCACCUACGCCAAACCGUGUAAACAUCAUUCUGAGCAGCGUCCUUCCCGGGAGGGCCAAGACAGCUGGCCGCUCGGGCUC